GGUUCCACAGAAGGUGCAAGUCCUGUACGUUGAGAUAAUUGAUCGAUAUUUGCGUGCUUUAGAGUCGGGUUGUUUGGGAUCGCAGCCCAAAGUCGGUGGUAAACUUCAUCUAAGACUUAAUAUUGCCACGAGACCGAUAGCAAACAAGUACUGUGAAGGAAAGUUGCAAAGCACUUUGAAGAGAGAGUUAAAGAGGACGUGAAACCGGUAAGGUGGAAACGGAUAGAGUCGGCGUAUCAUUCAAKUAUUCAGUUACAUUAUUUUUAUGUUGUGAYCUCUGAGCUCCAGAUUGGGACAGAGGGAAUCAGCAUAAUUUUUUGUGGUGCAUUUACUUGAUUGGUGCUUGGGGAUGUUUGAGGCAGAUUUGUUUCCGUCGUUUUGAGGCCAGCUUGCUGGUACCCAAACGGUGUUAGCAUUUUUUGUCUUGGGCAUUUGAGUAUGGCUCACGKGUAUUUAUUGGWCAGAUCUGAGUGUAAGUUACGGUCGCAUGCGACACGUGCUUUUCAAUUAGUUCGGUCCAGUUAAUGCUCUCGUACUCGUUCCCCAUGUAAAAGCCGGUCAUCUAUCCGACCCGUCUUGAAACACGGACCAAGGAGUUUAUCGUGUGCGCAAGUUUUUGGGUGUUAAAAACYUAAAAGCGAAAUGAAAGUAAAUGRCUCUUUAGAGUCUGAUGUGCGAUCUUGUAAAAAAGUGYAGCAUGGCCCCAUUCUAACUGUUUACAGUAGGGUGGCGGAAGAGCGUACGCGGUGAGACCCGAAAGAUGGUGAACUAUUCCUGAGCAGGACGAAGCCAGAGGAAACUCUGGUGGAAGUCCGAAGCGGUUCUGACGUGCAAAUCGAUCGUCUGACU
rnacentral:rRNA from 1 species